ACGCUAGCUAUAGGCUUAACACAUGCAAGUCGAGGGGAAACGGCAUUAUGUGCUUGCACAUUUUGGACGUCGACCGGCGCACGGGUGAGUAUCGCGUAUCCAACCUUCCCUCCACUCGGGGAUACCCCGUUGAAAGACGGCCUAAUACCCGAUGUUGUCCACAUAUGGCAUCUGACGUGGACCAAAGAUUCAUCGGUGGAGGAUGGGGAUGCGUCUGAUUAGCUUGUUGGUGCGGGUAACGGCCCACCAAGGCUACGAUCAGUAGGGGUUCUGAGAGGAAGGUCCCCCACAUUGGAACUGAGACACGGUCCAAACUCCUACGGGAGGCAGCAGUGAGGAAUAUUGGUCAAUGGACGUAAGUCUGAACCAGCCAAGUAGCGUGCAGGAUUGACGGCCCUAUGGGUUGUAAACUGCUUUUGUUGGGGAGUAAAGUGAGGCACGCGUGCCUUUUUGCAUUUCCCUUCGAAUAAGGACCGGCUAAUUCCGUGCCAGCAGCCGCGGUAAUACGGAAGGUCCAGGCGUUAUCCGGAUUUAUUGGGUUUAAAGGGAGUGUAGGCGGUCUGUUAAGCGUGUUGUGAAAUUUAGGUGCUCAACAUCUACCUUGCAGCGCGAACUGGCGGACUUGAGUGCACGCAACGUAUGCGGAAUUCAUGGUGUAGCGGUGAAAUGCUUAGAUAUCAUGACGAACUCCGAUUGCGAAGGCAGCGUACGGGAGUGUUACUGACGCUUAAGCUCGAAGGUGCGGGUAUCGAACAGGAUUAGAUACCCUGGUAGUCCGCACGGUAAACGAUGGAUGCCCGCUGUUAGCGCCUGGCGUUAGCGGCUAAGCGAAAGCAUUAAGCAUCCCACCUGGGGAGUACGCCGGCAACGGUGAAACUCAAAGGAAUUGACGGGGGCCCGCACAAGC
rnacentral:rRNA from 1 species